GGGGAGGUCGCAUAGUUGGCCUAGUGCGCUCGCUUGGAAAGCGGGUAGGGCGGCAACGUCCUCGAGGGUUCGAAUCCCUCCCUCUCCG
rnacentral:tRNA from 1 species